UACAGAGGUCUCAAGCGUUGUUCGGAUUCAUUGGGCGUAAAGGGUGUGUAGGUGGCGCGCUAAGUCGGGUGUGAAAUUUCGGAGCUUAACUCCGAAACUGCAUUCGAUACUGGCGUGCUUGAGGACUGGAGAGGAGACUGGAAUUUACGGUGUAGCAGUGAAAUGCGUAGAUAUCGUAAGGAAGACCAGUGGCGAAGGCGGGUCUCUGGGACGGUACUGACGCUGAGACGCGAAAGCGUGGGGAACAAACAGG
rnacentral:rRNA from 1 species